rnacentral:sRNA from 1 species
AUACAUGCAUGUAUACGCCACAGCUCCUGUUUGUCCAUUAUUCAGGCAGGCAUAAACCAGUAUCAAGCUCAGAGUCUAUCGACUCUUGUUUUUUAACGUUACUCUGCAGUUCAACGUCCGACUGGGUUUGAACUCCUGGAUAUAGCAGCUUCUCUUUAGGUCAGUGUGUUAAUGAUGUUCCUGAACUUCUGUAUUUAUUGUGUAUUGGAUUGAAUAGCAAUUAAAAUGAUCUGUUGUUCGAGAGGUGAAUGAACGAAUCCAUAUCUAAGCGUCCACCUAAUUUUAUUACUUGAUGGUUGUUUUCCUGUCGGCUAAAACAGCUAAUUUAUAAUCAAAUGAAUUUGCAGCUUAAUUAUAAUCAUCGUUGGUGAUAUUUCAUAUUAUAUAUGAAAGACGUAAUUGUCUGAAGAAAGCUAUAGUUUAAAUUUAAACUUAAUUAUUAACCGAUAUGAUAACAUGGAAGGGCACUAGACGUUUGAUGUUGAUGCCUUGAUGUGCACGAGAGCUGGUCUGAUUGUACGUCUGUCUGUACAAAGUGCAUGACUUCAAGACGCCAACUGCAUGCUCAGUUUCAUGUAAAUGAAUACAUGUACAUGAAUCAAGAAGUGAGCAAAAGGUAAACUUAAUGUAUUUUCCACAGCAGUCACGUUGAUUUUAUCGACAAUAAAAUUUCAAGUGUUAUCAAGAAGUCAUGGGACCGUGGUCCUCCCUCUCUCUCACCUGAGAGGACAUCUUACGUCGAUGACAGUCACGAAAUCUGACGGGCAAGCGAAGAAAGCCCAGGUAUUUAUAUAUAAAUCUAUAUUUAGCUGUACUGAUCAGCUGAUCGGAACGGGGAUCCGUGGCCACUGAGUCAUGGGUGUGUUAAUUCUAUGUAUAGCUAACGCAAAAUCCAAACGCCUAGAGUUAUUAUAAGAUCACGGCUGCAUUCGUAAUUUAAUUCUAGCAGGGCAAGGUCUUUUUAAGUCUGAAGGCGUGACCAGUAACUGCUGCUUUUGAGUUCUUAUCCGUACUAUUUACUGCAUGGUAAGUAUGUUUGGUCGAUGUCCCUUGAUAGUAUGGACCUUGAAUUCGCUUUCAGAGAAUACAUGCAUGUUUAUGUAAACACAAUAACAAAAACAUCACCAAAAAAAAA